rnacentral:piRNA from 1 species
UAAUUUUGAAUCUCUGCGUAAUAGAGAAAUU